UCCUUAUUUUGGCUCUUCAGAUAUUAUAUAAAAAUGUUUGAUAACAAGAAGAGAAGUAUGAACGGAAGUUUGUAGGAAUGUUUUGAAUGGAUCUUCAUAAAAUUCGAACACCUUUAAAUAAGGCAAGUCCUAGCUUGGGGUGCAUAAUAUUUUUAAUGUAAAACCCAGUAUAUACCACGCUUUAUGUAUUUGAAUUACUGUUAUGUUAGUUAUUCGCAGAACACUUAUUGGUGGGCCCAAAAAUUAAUGUAAAACGCAUUAUAAUACUACAUUUUAGUAAAACGUAGUAUUAUAC
rnacentral:lncRNA from 1 species